rnacentral:SRP_RNA from 1 species
GCUGGGCAUGGUGGCACAUUCCUGUAGUCCCAGCUACUCGGGAGGCUGAGGCAGGAGAAUUGCCUGAACCCAGGAGGCGGAGGUUGCGGUGAGCCGAGAUUGUGCCAUUGCACUCCAGCCUGGUUAACAAGAGCAAAACUCCGACUCAAAAAAAAAAAAAAAAAAAAAAAAACAGAUGGAGUUUCGCUCUUGUUACCCAGACUGGAGUGCAAUGGCUCGAUCUCGGCUCACCGCAACCUCCGCCUCCUGGGUUCAGGCAAUUCUCCUGCCUCAG